rnacentral:rRNA from 1 species
GUAGGUGGCAAGCGUUGUCCGGAAUUAUUGGGCGUAAAGCGCGCGCAGGCGGUUCUUUAAGUCUGAUGUGAAAGCCCACGGCUCAACCGUGGAGGGUCAUUGGAAACUGGAGAACUUGAGUACAGAAGAGGAAAGCGGAAUUCCACGUGUAGCGGUGAAAUGCGUAGAGAUGUGGAGGAACACCAGUGGCGAAGGCGGCUUUCUGGUCUGUAACUGACGCUGAGGCGCGAAAGCGUGGGGAGCAAACAGGGAUUAGAUACCCUGGUAGUCCACGCCGUAAACGAUGAGUGCUAAGUGUUAGGGGGGUUUCCGGCCCCCUUAGUGCUGCAGCUAACGCAUUAAGCACUCCGCCUGGGGAGUACGGCCGCAAGGCUG